rfam:Brassica oleracea var. oleracea cultivar TO1000 chromosome C1, whole genome shotgun sequence
GGAAUAUAAGAAGUCAUCUCUUAACUUUUAACUAAAAAAAUUAAGAACCGGCUCUUAAAAUUUUUAUUUAAAAACCGAUUCUUAGUUUUUUUAGUUAAAAAUUAAGAGACAGAUUCUUAUAUUUC